GAUGAACGCUGGCGGCGUGCCUAAUACAUGCAAGUCGAGCGAACGGAUGAGAAGCUUGCUUCUCUGAUGUUAGCGGCGGACGGGUGAGUAACACGUGGAUAACCUACCUAUAAGACUGGGAUAACUUCGGGAAACCGGAGCUAAUACCGGAUGAUAUUUUGAACCGCAUGGUUCAAUAGUGAAAGACGGUCUUGCUGUCACUUAUAGAUGGAUCCGCGCUGCAUUAGCUAGUUGGUAAGGUAACGGCUUACCAAGGCAACGAUGCAUAGCCGACCUGAGAGGGUGAUCGGCCACACUGGAACUGAGACACGGUCCAGACUCCUACGGGAGGCAGCAGUAGGGAAUCUUCCGCAAUGGGCGAAAGCCUGACGGAGCAACGCCGCGUGAGUGAUGAAGGUCUUCGGAUCGUAAAACUCUGUUAUUAGGGAAGAACAUAUGUGUAAGUAACUGUGCACAUCUUGACGGUACCUAAUCAGAAAGCCACGGCUAACUACGUG
rnacentral:rRNA from 1 species